rnacentral:rRNA from 1 species
CUGCAGCUCAAGUGGUGGCCGCUAUUAUUGGGCCUAAAACGUCCGUAGCCGGUUUAGUAAAUGCCUGGGUAAAUUGUGUAGCUUAACUAUACGAAUACCGGGUAGACUGCUAAACUUGGGACCGGGAGAGGCUAGAGGUACUCCUAGGGUAGAGGUGAAAUUCUGUAAUCCUAGGGGGACCACCAGUGGCGAAGGCGUCUAGCUAGAACGGGUCUGACGGUGAGGGACGAAGCCCUGGGGCACAAACCGGAUUAGAUACCCGAGUAGUCC